rnacentral:rRNA from 1 species
ACGGGUGAGUAACACGUGGGUUGAUCUGCCCUGCACUUUGGGAUAAGCCUGGGAAACUGGGUCUAAUACCGAAUAGGACCACGCGCUUCAUGGUGUGUGGUAGAAAGCUUUUGCGGUGUGGGAUGGGCCCGCGGCCUAUCAGCUUGUUGGUGGGGUANNNNNNNACCAAGGCGACGACGGGUAGCCGGCCUGAGAGGGUGACCGGCCACACUGGGACUGAGAUACGGCCCAGACUCCUACGGGAGGCAGCAGUGGGGAAUAUUGCACAAUGGGCGCAAGCCUGAUGCAGCGACGCCGCGUGAGGGAUGACGGCCUUCGGGUUGUAAACCUCUUUCAAUAGGGACGAAGCGCAAGUGACGGUACCUAUAGAAGAAGCACCGGCCAACUACGUGCCAGCAGCCGCGGUAAUACGUAGGGUGCGAGCGUUGUCCGGAAUUACUGGGCGUAAAGAGCUCGUAGGUGGUUUGUCGCGUUGUUCGUGAAAACUCACAGCUUAACUGUGGGCGUGCGGGCGAUACGGGCAGACUAGAGUACUGCAGGGGAGACUGGAAUUCCUGGUGUAGCGGUGGAAUGCGCAGAUAUCAGGAGGAACACCGGUGGCGAAGGCGGGUCUCUGGGCAGUAACUGACGCUGAGGAGCGAAAGCGUGGGGAGCGAACAGGAUUAGAUACCCUGGUAGUCCACGCCGUANACGGUGGGUACUAGGUGUGGGUUCCUUCCUUGGGAUCCGUGCCGUAGCUAACGCAUUAAGUACCCCGCCUGGNGAGUACGGCCGCAAGGCUAAAACUCAAAGGAAUUGACGGGGGCCCGCACAAGCGGCGG